rnacentral:rRNA from 1 species
AGAACGAACGCUGGCGGCAUGCCUAACACAUGCAAGUCGAACGCUCUUGAGGCUUCGGUUUCAAGGGAGUGGCGCACGGGUGAGUAGCGCGUGGGAACCUGCCCUGUUGUGGGGGAUAACCGAGGGAAACUUCGGCUAAUACCGCAUGCGCCCGGGGAAACCCGGGAAAGAUUUAUCGCAGCAGGAGGGGCCCGCGUCGGAUUAGGUAGUUGGUAGGGUAACGGCCUACCAAGCCUUUGAUCCGUAGCUGGUCUGAGAGGAUGAUCAGCCACACUGGGACUGAGACACGGCCCAGACUCCUACGGGAGGCAGCAGUGGGGAAUAUUGGACAAUGGGCGCAAGCCUGAUCCAGCAAUGCCGCGUGAGUGAUGAAGGCCUUAGGGUUGUAAAGCUCUUUCGCCCGCGACGAUGAUGACGGUAGCGGGAGAAGAGCCCCGGCUAACUCGCGCCAGCAGCCGC